CCUACGGGAGGCAGCAGUGAGGAAUCUUCGACAAUGGACGAGAGUCUGAUCCAGCCAAGUCGCGUGAAUGAAGAAUGCCCUAUGGGCUGUAAACUUCGUUUAUAUGGGAAUAAGAGGUUCAAAGUGACGGUUUUUGUAUCUACCGUAUGAAAAAGGAUAGGCUAACUCCGUGCCAGCAGCCCAGGUAAUACGGAGGAUACGAGGGUUACCCGGAUUUAUUGGGUUUAAAGGGAGUGUAGGUGGAUUGUUAAGUCAGUUGUGAAAGUUUGCGGCUCAACCGGAGAAUUGCAGUUGAAACUGGCAGUCUUGAGUACAGUAAAGGUGAGCGGAACUCGUGGUGUAGCGGUGAAAUGCUUAGAUAUAACGAAGAACUCCGAUUGCGAAGGCAGCUCACUGGACUGCAACUGACACUGAGGCUCGAAAGUGUGGGUAUCAAACAGGAUUAGAUACCCGUGUAGUC
rnacentral:rRNA from 1 species